GACGAACGCUGGCGGCGUGCUUAACACAUGUAAGUCGAACGGUGAAGCGCCUUCCUUUUUGGUGGGUGUGGAUGAGUGGCGAACGGGCGAGUAACACGUGAGUAACCUGCCCCCUUCUUCUGGAUAACCGCAUGAAAGUGUGGCUAAUACGGGAUAUUCUGGGUCUGUCGCAUGAUGGGUCUGGGAAAGAUAUUGUUUCGGUGGGGGAUGGGCUCGCGGCCUAUCAGCUUGUUGGUGGGGUGAUGGCCUACCAAGGCGGUGACGGGUAGCCGGCCUGAGAGGGUGGACGGUCACACUGGGACUGAGACACGGCCCAGACUCCUACGGGAGGCAGCAGUGGGGAAUAUUGCACAAUGGGCGCAAGCCUGAUGCAGCGACGCCGCGUGAGGGAUGGAGGCCUUCGGGUUGUGAACCUCUUUCGCCAGUGAAGCAGGCCUGCCCCGUUUGUGGGUGGGUUGACGGUAGCUGGAUAAGAAGCGCCGGCUAACUACGUG
rnacentral:rRNA from 1 species